rnacentral:rRNA from 1 species
GUAAUCGCAGAUCAGCAUGCUGCGGUGAAUACGUUCCCGGGCCUUGUACACACCGCCCGUCACACCAUGGGAGUCGGUAACACCCGAAGUCGGUAGUCUAACCGAAAGGAGGACGCCGCCGAAGGUGGGAUUGAUGACUGGGGUGAAGUCGUAACAAGGUACC